rnacentral:rRNA from 1 species
UACGUAGGGUGCAAGCGUUAAUCGGAAUUACUGGGCGUAAAGCGUGCGCAGGCGGUUUUGUAAGUUUGUCGUGAAAUCCCCGGGCUCAACCUGGGAAUGGCGAUGAAGACUGCAAGGCUAGAAUCUGGCAGAGGGGGGUAGAAUUCCACGUGUAGCAGUGAAAUGCGUAGAGAUGUGGAGGAACACCGAUGGCGAAGGGCAGCCCCCUGGGUCAAGAUUGACGCUCAUGCACCGAAAGGCGUGGGGACAAACGAGGAUAGAGACC